GUGCUGGAGCAGCUGGAGCGUGGAGACUUCUUCACACAGAGCAUCACGAAGGCUCGGCUCUUCACCUCCGUGCACGACGCCGUGCUGUACUGCCUGAGCCACAGAGGGGACCCCAAGACCCCUGCAAACAGUGAGGUCCUGGAAGUCACCCGGCUCUAGCGCAGCGGGGGGAGGGUGCGCCCCCCAUGCGAGAGGCAGGCCGACCCGCCCACACGGACGCUCCUGGACACUGCCCGACCUGAAACCCACGAAGGCGGUAGCAACGUGUGUCCGCCAGGGGGCGCCUGUGGACGCGCCCGCGAGCAAGCCUGAGUUUUGCAAACCAUCCAGCAGAACAUAACUCUGUGUAUCUAUGCUGAGUCACUCCAGCCCAGGUCCGUUUACUGCAGUUUCCACCAGCUAGUACUGUAAUACAUUGUGUUUUGUAGUAGUUAUGUACUAAUGUAGUUGCAUAAUAUCAUCUGAUGCUAUUAUCAAUUCUUUUUUCCCCACUUGUCACGUUUUACGAAUAGCAAAAAGUGGCGAUUAUGUACAUUAACGAAGCCUGGUUUGCAGAUUCCAAAUUAAAUGAUCAGUAUUGAUAAAUAAUUCAAUACUCCCGAUAAGAAAAUGUCGAAAUCACAGACAAUUGUGAAGUUAAGUGGAAAACUGCAGAACUAAUAAAAAUGACAUUCUGAACUGUU